UAUGACUCCUCUCCUUGCAGAACAGAGAGCCUUGCACCGUGAAACCAGUGACCCAGGCACCACACCAGAUGGAUGCUUUACAGGGCCAAGCAGGAAAUGAAGACGGGAGACCCUGCAACACUGUGCUUAUAAUUUGUCUUCUAAACUCGUUGAUAUUUGCUCUCCAUGUUGAGAUAUUGGAAGAGAUAAACAAGUAAAACGGAAGCACCAGGGCAGAACUAGAAGGAGAGGAAGUCAAGACUGAAAGGCAAGUCUAUUUCAAGAGAGGCAAAGAAGCAGAAAGAAUGUGACACAGCUGUCAGUCACCAGCC
rnacentral:lncRNA from 1 species